GAUGAACGCUGGCGGCGUGCCUAAUACAUGCAAGUCGAGCGAACAGACGAGGAGCUUGCUCCUCUGACGUUAGCGGCGGACGGGUGAGUAACACGUGGAUAACCUACCUAUAAGACUGGGAUAACUUCGGGAAACCGGAGCUAAUACCGGAUAACAUGUUGAACCGCAUGGUUCAACAGUGAAAGACGGUUUUGCUGUCACUUAUAGAUGGAUCCGCGUCGCAUUAGCUAGUUGGUAAGGUAACGGCUUACCAAGGCAACGAUGCGUAGCCGACCUGAGAGGGUGAUCGGCCACACAGGAACUGAGACACGGUCCAGACUCCUACGGGAGGCAGCAGUAGGGAAUCUUCCGCAAUGGGCGAAAGCCUGACGGAGCAACGCCGCGUGAGUGAAGAAGGUCUUCGGAUCGUAAAACUCUGUUAUUAGGGAAGAACAAAUGUGUAAGUAACUAUGCACGUCUUGACGGUACCUAAUCAGAAAGCCACGGCUAACUACGUG
rnacentral:rRNA from 1 species